GUAGGAUGUUUGAAGCCAGGAUGGCUAAUUGGCCCCUAGAGGAAGGCAGGAAUGGAGUCGGAGCCCCAAGGCGAAGGCUGGGCUCUGUUCCUUCUGGGACACAGCAGAGGCCUCUGCCAAGGUAAAAAUCUCUGGGUGGAGACAAGUGAAUGGAUCUGAAAGCUACAGGGGCCAGGGACUCAUCAGAACUUGGACUGAGGGAGUGAGGGAAGCAGGGAGGGCAAGGCUAGGGCCCCAGCCCAGGGGGAUGCAAAGCACUGGCUUCAGGUGCAGGUUUCAGGACAGGUUGAGUCAGAAAUCCCAGGGGCCAUCCAGGUGGCAGUGUCACGAGGAGCCGCCUUGAACCCAGCGGAGCACAUGUGUGGAGAUCCACAGUCACAGGCCAUGGACACCAUGGGGGUGGACAAAUGACUCCAGACAGAACCCAGAGGAGCACACAGGCAGCCUGCAAAGGAGCCCCAAGGGGAAGGAGAAGGUGUGCCGGGAAAGGCAGACCCGGUGCAAAGAAGAGCCCUCUGGGAGGAAGAAGAAGUGUUGGCAAUGUCAAACGCUGCGGAGGCAUGAAGCAAGACCAGUGACUGUCCAACCCACCCAGCCCCGCGGAAACAGGAGUGUGGCCACUUAGAUGGGGAAGAAGAAAGAGGAAAGAAAAAAGAAAAAGCUGGAGGAUGGGGCCUGGGAGGGUCCAGUUCCUCUUCAGCUCUGCUCUUCACACUCAGACGCCAAUGGGAAAUUUGUAGGAAACCCAGCCCGUGUCGUGGAUGCUGUGGGGUCUGCCCAGACGUCCUCUUCAGGGUCAGUGCGCCCACCCUCCCAGCUGCUGGGGACGGGAACCACCACCCUCAGCCACUGGGACCUGCCUUCUCUGGGCUCUGCCCCCUCCCAGGGGACGACUGAAGCCCAUGACUGGCUGAUGGGGGGUAGCAAGGGCCCGGCCCCCUUCCCUCCAUGUGGGACAGUGAGGAAGGGCCAUCCCAGGCCUAGAGCUCCUCGUGGGGUCAGUGGGGGCUUUGGCAGUCUUCACACCGGGGUCUGCUUCUCCCUCUGUUCAGUCUUGCCUUGCCCACUCGCUGAUGGGGGUGCCUCCCGGAAGCCCUCCCCAGCCCGGCGUUGGCCUGCAGCUGUCCCGCUGAGCUCUGGAUUCCCAGGAAUUAGAUGGAAAAUAGCCUGGUUCCUGCUUUCAGCUUUCUCUUCUGCAGAAACUCAGAUGCUGAUAAGUAAUAAAAUGUCUCCCCCCUGAGUUCUGUUUCCCUUGCCUUGCCCCAUCUCUGAGAUCCAGGUGGAUGGCUUCUCAAGAACCUAAAGGAGACGUUAGGAGGAGAAGGGAGGAGAGAAGAGGCUGUGUCCCCCUCACCUGGCUGACUCCCACUCAGGCUUUCUGCUUAGACAACCCCUCCCAUGGGACACCAUCCCUGGUCCCUCUGGACGGGGCCAGGUGCCCUCACCCAUGGCUCCCCUAGCUCCCGUGGGCUUCCCCCAGCACAGCACCAGACUCCCUGGAUUACAAUCAGUUACGUACCUGCCCAGCUCCCUUUAGAACAUCAAAGCCAUGAGGGCAGAGGACAGGUCUAUUUGCUCACCAUUUUCUCCCAGGGCCUGGCAAAGUUCCUGGAACCCAGGAGAUGUGUCCUGCAGAGUCUUGCCUAGAACAAAUGGCACAUUGAAGUAAGGCAACUGAGGAAGGUUGGUAAGAGGAUUCCUCCCGAGAUUUAGACAGGGUGUAGGGAAACCCCAGUGCAUGACUGGUGCAGGAGAGAACAUGCCGCCAUUCCCACUGCUAGGAACAAGGGGCAGAGCAGGGGGAGGGGCCGCCUAGGUCAAGGUCAAGAGACACACCAGCCCCACCAGGAAGGAGCCAGGGCUCUAAACCCCUUGACCUCAGUCUCUAACCUCCUGCCCAAAGCCCCCAUUGGCCAAACCCGACUGAGGCUCAGAGGGUCAGAGGGCGGAGGCUCUGCUGUUAACAAGUUGAGCCUCCACGAAUGGGGACACAAAAGCGGC